ensembl:lncRNA
GUAGCCUAGUGGUUAGAGUGUUGGACCAGUAACCAGCAGGUAGCCUAGUGGUUAGAGUGUUGGACUAGUAACCAGCAGGUAGCCUAGUGGUUAGAGUGUAGAGGUGGCAGGUAGUCUAUUGGUUAGAGUGUAGAGGCGGUAGGUAGCCUAGUGGUUAGAGUGUAGAGGAGGCAGGUAGUCUAGUGGUUAGAGUGUAGAGGUGGCAGGUAGCCUAGUGGUUAGAGUGUAGGGGCGGCAGGUAGCCUAGUGGUUAGAGUGUAGAGGUGGCAGGUAGCCUAGUGGUUAGAGCGUAGAGGUGGCAGGUAGUCUAGUGGUUAGAGUGUAGAGGUGGCAGGUAGCCUAGUGGUUAGAGUGUAGAGGUGGCAGGUAGUCUAGUGGUUAGAGUGUAGAGGCGGCAGGUAGCCUAGUGGUUAGAGUGUAGAGGAGGCAGGUAGUCUAGUGGUUAGAGCGUUGGGUCAGUAACUGAAAGGUUGCUAGAUUGAAUCCCCGAGCUGACAAGGUAAAAAUCUGUUGUUCUGCCCCUGAACAAGGCAGUUAACCCACUGUUCCCCGG